GACGAACGCUGGCGGCGUGCUUAACACAUGCAAGUCGAACGGAAAGGCCCUGCUUUUGUGGGGUGCUCGAGUGGCGAACGGGUGAGUAACACGUGAGUAACCUGCCCUUGACUUUGGGAUAACUUCAGGAAACUGGGGCUAAUACCGGAUAUGAGCUCCUGCUGCAUGGUGGUGGUUGGAAAGUUUCGGCGGUUGGGGAUGGACUCGCGGCUUAUCCGCUUGUUGGUGGGGUAGUGGCUUACCAAGGCUUUGACGGGUAGCCGGCCUGAGAGGGUGACCGGCCACAUUGGGACUGAGAGACGGACCAGACUCCUACGGGAGGCAGCAGUGGGGAAUAUUGCACAAUGGGCGGAAGCCUGAUGCAGCAACGCCGCGUGCGGGAUGACGGCCUUCGGGGUGUAAACCGCUUUCGCCUGUGACGAAGCGUGAGUGACGGUAAUGGGUAAAGAAGCACCGGCUAACUACGUG
rnacentral:rRNA from 1 species